rnacentral:rRNA from 1 species
GACGAACGCUGGCGGCGUGCUUAACACAUGCAAGUCACGGGGGGCCCGCAAGGGUCAACCGGCGAACGGGUGCGUAACACGUGAGCGACCUGCCCAAUUGCGGGGGAUAGCCGGCCCAACGGCCGGGUAAUACCGCAUACGCUUCCCUGGGGGCAUUCUUGGGGAAGGAAACCUACGGGGGCGAUUGGAGGGGCUCGCGGCCUAUCAGCUAGUUGGCGAGGUAACGGCUCACCAAGGCGAUGACGGGUAGCUGGUCUGAGAGGAUGGCCAGCCACAUUGGGACUGAGAGACGGCCCAGACUCCUACGGGAGGCAGCAGUGGGGAAUCUUGCGCAAUGGCCGAAAGGCUGACGCAGCGACGCCGCGUGGAGGAUGAC